rnacentral:rRNA from 1 species
GAUGAACGCUGGCGGCGUGCCUAAUACAUGCAAGUCGAGCGAACAGACGAGGAGCUUGCUCCUCUGACGUUAGCGGCGGACGGGUGAGUAACACGUGGAUAACCUACCUAUAAGACUGGGAUAACUUCGUGAAACCGGAUCUACUACCGGAUAAUAUAUUGAACCGCAUGGUUCAAUAGUGAAAGACGGUUUUGCUGUCACUUUUAGAUGGAUCCGCGCCGCAUUAGCUAGUUGGUAAGGUAACGGCUUACCAAGGCAACGAUGCGUAGCCGACCUGAGAGGAUGAUCAGCCACACUGGAACUGAGACACGGUCCAGACUCCUACGGGAGGCAGCAGUAGGGAAUAUUCGACAAUGGGCGAAAGCCUGACGGAGCAACGCCGCGUGAGUGAUGAAGGUCUUCGGAUCGUAAAACUCUGUUAUUAGGAAAGAACAAAUGUGUAAGAAACUAUGCACGUCUUGACGGUACCUAAACAGAAAGCCACGGCUAACUACGUG